GGUGCGAUGGUUGUCGUCAGCUCGUGUCGUGAGAUGUGGGUUAAGUCCGCAACGAGCGCAACCCUUGUCUUUAGUUGCCAGCAUUGAGUUGGGCACUCUAAAGAGACUGCCGGGUGUCAAACCGGAGGAAGGUGGGGAUGACGUCAAGUCCUCAUGGCCUUUAUGAUCAGGGCUACACACGUACUACAAUGGCCGGUACAACGGGCAGCGACAUAGCGAUAUGAAGCCAAUCCCUGAAAGCCGGUCUCAGUCCGGAUUGGAGUCUGCAACUCGACUCCAUGAAGUUGGAAUCGCUAGUAAUCGCGGAUCAGCAUGCCGCGGUGAAUACGUUCCCGGGCCUU
rnacentral:rRNA from 1 species